ensembl:lncRNA
ACACUCUGGGGGGCAGGACGGAUAGGUUAUUUUCUUUUUUUCUUCUUUUUCUUUUCUUUCCUCUUUUUUUCUCUUCUGUUUCAGCCGGGCUAUCUGCACAGACCGCAUGCAACACACACAAGCUCUACCCGGGGCAGCGAGCAGGGGACGCGCAACAGGUCGGCCACCGCCCCGGCGCUCCCCAUCGCCUGCCCCGGUCACCCUCCGCGGUCCCGGCGGUGACUCGCCCCGCUCCCCGUCCGCACGUAUGCGCCGGCAGCCAUCCAGGCGGGCACCGGAGCUCUGCGCGGGCAUCCUCCGGCCGCGGGUCAUAGGGCCGCGGCGUAGGCUGCGGGAUAAGGGUCCAGCUGGGGCUUGCCCAUGCCCGGCAGGAGGAUGUAGGCCAGCGGCGGCUGCAGCCCCGGGCCGGGCCAGGCGCUGCAGUUGCAGGGGAUCAUGUAGCCCGGGUUACCGGGCGACGGGUGCGAGUGCGUGUGCCCCCCGGCGGCGGCGGCGGCGGCGGCGGCAGCAGCGGCGGCCCCAUGGAAGGCGCCCGCCCCGCCGGCGCCGGGGUAGCCCAGCGAGGAGGCGUAGGGCAACCCGGAGCCCGAGGAAGAGGAGGAGGAUGAGAUCUCGGCCAUUUUGGAGCCCAAGUCCAGCAGGGAGUAGGGGCUGCUGGCGGCGGCCGCGGCGGCGGCGGCGGCAGCGGCGGCGGCCGACUGGGGGAAGAAGACGCGAGCGGCGGCAGCGGCGGCGGCCGCCGCCGCCUUCUCGGGGUUAGCCAGGAGCGACUCGGGCACCAGCCCGCCCGCCGCGCCGGCAUGCAGCCCGCCCGCCUUCAGCCCGUGCGGGUGCUCGUGGUCCGCCACGCCGCCCAGCCCGUAGGGCACGGGGAAGGCGAACUUGUCCUUCUUGAGCAGCGUCUUGGGCUUCCGCCGCGGCCGGUACUUGUAGUCGGGGUGCUCCUUCAUGUGCAUGGCCCGCAGCCGCUUGGCCUCGUCGAUGAAGGGCCGCUUCUCCGACUCAGUCAGCAGCUUCCACUCGGCGCCCAGGCGCUUGCUGAUCUCCGAGUUGUGCAUCUUGGGGUUCUCCUGGGCCAUCUUUCGUCGCUGCGCCCGCGACCACACCAUGAAGGCGUUCAUCGGCCUCUUGACGUGAUCCACCGGCUUGGACAUGGUGUCCCCCCGCCGCCCCGGCGAGCCGCCGUCCGCCCCGCACUGGCGGCCGCCUCCUCCGGAGCUGUCUCCCGCCUCCUCCUCCUCCUCGCCCCCACCGCGGUCCGCUCCUCCAAAAGCAAUCUCGGCGGGUGCCCAGUGGCGGCGGCACGGACUCCCGCUGGUGCGGGGCGGCGGCACGCGGUGGCCCCGCUCCGUGCGCGGGGCGCUGCCGAGCGGCGGCGGCGCCUCCCCGUCAGGGCGCUGCGGCGGGCGGCUCGGGCGGGACGGCCUCCGUUCCCCGCCUGGGCCUCGGAGCUUCUCUCCGCACCGCCGGUCUCCAGUCCACGGCUCCUCCUCAGAACACCCCGCGGGCGACAGCGGCCGGAGUCCAGACGGGACGGCGAGGGCAGGACCCGGCAGCAGGCGAGCGGCGUGCGGCAUCGGAUGCCGGCUUGA